CCUGCGUGCCGGCGGGGGGCGCGGACACGCGUGGUGUGCGCGGUCCCCGUGCAGCCCGCCCUGCCGCAGGCUGCCCUCCACCCCCAGCCCCAGCUCCAGCCCCCAGCCCGUCCCCACUGCUCAUAUCCGAGCAGAUAGACCCCGGCCCCACCCUCCCGUGCUGAGCCUCCUUUCUGCCGGGAAGUUCGUCCGGGAGUCAAACAUCGCUGCCCUCCGGUUGCGCCACGGAGGGGGAGCCAGGAUAGGAAGCUGCCGUGAAAUCAGGAAGCUGAGCGCGCCGGGCCCCGGAUCCGAACAGAAAAGGCUUCCACCCGCUCCCCUGAGGGAUCCCACGCUGAGGGACUGAACCCCGCACCCCAGCCGCGCUCACCACCCCCACCCUCUCGCCUGGGCUGCUCUGACCUGGGGUUCACUUUCUGAAGAUGAUUCUGAAGAAGAGGAGGAAUUGGAAGAGGAAUCCGAGCCUUCUGAAUGAAUUCCAGAACUGCCACUCAAAGUGCCCUAUGAGGAGCUGUGGUAACAAGGAAAUGUUCUCAUGACUCAAAAAUCAGUGGAAAAAGGUACAGGAUGAGAAGCCUUGUUUCCCAACCCUAUCAACAGAGCCGCACGCACCCACCCCAUGUCAAAAGUAACACAGUAUCGACACAAAAAGAGCCUGGAUCCCUCACAUGGACAGCCCUGAUCUGCUGAUUCUGAGUGCUGUGUGACAGAAAAGCAAAACUUUUAUAUUGUUGUAAGUACUGUUAUUUAACCUUUAUGUUAGAACCAAUCUUAUCAUUUAGCCUAACUAAUACAAGGUAUCUUCAUAUGAGGGUAAACUACAGUCACCAAAAGUGAUUACGUAUCAGAAGGCUGAGGUGGGAGGAUCAUUUGAGACCAGGAAUUUGAGGCUACACCACACUAUGAUCAUGCCUGUGAAUAGCCACAGUACUCCAGCAUGAGCAACGCAGUGAUACUCUGUCUCUAAAAAAAAAGCCAAAC
rnacentral:lncRNA from 10 species